CCUUAGCUUCCUCUUCAGAGUCCUUUCAGGUUCAAGAUCAACCUCAAUAAGAAUGUUCUUAUCCUUGCUCCUGCUCAUAUGAAAAAGAAGAAAACAGAAAAAAAAAUAUAGAAUCCUCUAUGUCACAGUAUAGAGAUUCCUUUAUGUGAGUAGAAGAAUAUAUGAAUAGAAGAAGGAGAAUUCAAACACAAGGGUGAGGAGUAGGUUCGAAUUCUUGGGUGAAAAAGGAAUGUUAGUAGAUGAAUAAAUAAAUAGAAGAAUUUUCGAAAAUUAGAUAAAAUAAAAUAAAAGUAUUUUUGUUUUUAAAUUAAAAAUUAAAAUUAAAAAUUCAAAACUUAAUCAAGGAAAAUUAAAUCAAAUUAAUUAAAUUUAAAACAAUUAGUUAAUUUAAAAAGGAAUUUUGAAGAAGAGGGAAGGGAUUUUCAAAAAUUAGAGAGAGAGAGAGAGUUAGUUAGGUAGUUUUGAAAAGAUAUGAUUGAAAUAAUAAACUUUUAAAAUCGAACAAAAAGUCAAGUAGUUAAUUAAAAAAGAUUUGAAAAUCAAUUUUUGAAAAGAUAAGAAGUUAGAAAAGAAGUUGGAAAAGAUUUUGAAAUUGAUUUUGAAAAAGAUGUGAUUGACAUUUAUUUUGAAAAAGAUUUGAAAAAGAAAUUUAAAAAGAUUUGAUUUUUGAAAUCAAAGUUGAUUACUUGACUAACAAGAAACUUGAAGAUAUGAUUUUAAAAUUUAAAAAUUGAACCUUUCUUAAUAGGCAAGUAACAAACUUAAAAAUUUUGAAUCAAUCACAUUAAAUGUUAACAUUGAAUUCGAAAAAGAUAAGAAAAAGAUUUUGAAAAUCAAUUUGAAAUUUUCGAAAAUAUGAAAGAAAAAAUGAAAAAGAUUUGAGUUUUGAAAAAGAAUUGAAAAAGAUAAAAUUUUUAAAUUGAAAAUUUGAUUUGACUCAUAAGAAACAACUAAAUUUUAAAAAAUUUUGAAAAAGUCAACUCAAAUUUUCGAAAAUUUAUGAGUGAAAAAGGGAAAGAUAUUUUUUUAAUUUUUAAACUUUUAAUGAUGAGAGAGAAAAAUACCAAAAAGACUCAACGCAUGAAAAUUGUGGAUCAAAACAAAUGAUGCAUGCAAGAACACUAUGAAUGUCAAGAUGAACACCAAGAACACUUUGAAGAUCAAGAUGAACAUCAAGACUUAUUUUUGAAAAUUUUUUAGAAAAGAAAAACAUGCAAGACACCAAACUUAGAGAUUUUUCAUGUUUAGAUACUAUGAAUGCAAAAAUGCAUAUGAAAAACAACAAAAGACACAUAACAAGAAAAUAUGAAGAUCAAACAAGAAGACUUGUCAAGAACAACUUGAAGAUCAUGAAGAACACAUGCAUGAGUUUUCGAAAAAUGCACAAAUUUUAAAAAUAUGCAAUUGACACCAAACUUAAAAACUGACACAAGAUUCAAGCAAGAAACACAAAAAUUAUUUUUGAUUUUAUGAUUUUAUAAUAUUUUUUUUUUUGGAUUUUUCGAAAAUUAUUUUGGAAAAACGAAAAAAGAAUAAAUUUUUUUAUAUUAUUUUCGAAAAUAAGAAAUAAAAAGCUUAAAAAUAAAAUAAAAUUACCUAAUCUGAGCAACAAGAUGAACCGUCAGUUGUCCAAACUCGAACAAUCCCCAGCAACAGCGCCAAAAACUUGGUGCGCAGAAAUCGUGACGGUUCCAUUCCUUGGUAACGGCGCUAAAAACUCAAUACGCACGUUCAUAAUCUUAGUUCUUUGUCACAACUUCGCACAACUAACCAACAAGUGCACUAGGUCGUCCAAGUAAUAAACCUUACGUGAGUAAGGGUCAAUCCCACGGAGAUUGUCGGCUUGAAGCAAGCUAUGGUAUAGGAUCCAUUGAUCCUUUUGCGUCUGUCACUAUGCCCAGCACUCGCGAGUUUGAAGCUCGUCGCAGCCAUCCCUUCUCAGAUCCUACUCGGAAUACCACAGACAAGAUUUAGACUUUCCGGAUCUCAAGAAUGGUCGUCCAUGGAUUCUAACUUAUACCACAAAGAUUCUGAUUAAGGAAUCCCAGAGAUACUCAUUCAAUCUAAGGUAGAACGGAAGUGGUUGUCAGGCACGCGUUCAUCGGUUGGGAAUGAUGAUGACUGUCACGAUCAUCCAUUCAUAUUGAAAUGCGAAUGAAUAUCUUAGAAUCAGAAUAAGCUUGAAUUGAAUAGAAAAACGAUAGUACUUUGUAUUAAUUCAUGAGGAUCAGCAGAGCUUCACACCUUAAUCUAUGGUGUGUAGAAACUCUACCGUUGAAAAUACAUAAGUGAUGAAGGUUCAGGCAUGGCCGAAUGGCCAGCCCCCAAACGUGAUCUAAAGAUGAAACUAAAGAUGUAAAUACAAUAGUAAAAAGUCCUAUUUAUGCUAAACUAGUUACUAGGGUUUAUAGAAAUGAGUAAAUGAUGUAGAAAUCCACUUCCGGGGCCCACUUGGUGUGUGCUUGGGCUGAGCAUUGAGCUUUACACAUAUAGAGGCUUCUCUUGGAGUUGAACGCCAGUUUGUAACCUGUUUCUGGUGUUUAACUCCACUUUGCAACCUGUUUCUGGCGUUUAACUCCAGAAUGCAGCAUAGAACUGGCGUUGAACGCCAGUUUGCAUCAUCUAAACUCGGGAAACGUAUGGACUAUUAUAUAUUUUUGGAAAGCCCUGGAUGUAUACUUUCCAACGCAAUUGAGAGCGCACCAUUUGGAGUUCUGUAGCUCCAGAAAAUCCACUUUGAGUGCAGGGAGGUCAGAAUCCAACAGCAUCUGCAGUCCUUCUUCAACCUCUGAAUUUGAUUUUUGCUCAAGUCCCUCAAUUUCAGCCAGAAAAUACUUGAAAUCACAUAAAAACACACAAACUCAUAGUAAAGUCCAGAAAUGUGAUUUUUAUUUAAAAACUAAUAAAAAUAUACUAAAAACUAACUAAAUUAUACUGAAAACUAUGUAAAAACAAUCCCAAAAAGCAUAUAAAUUAUCCACUCAUCAAACACCCGUUGUGGGUCAAAUGAACUUGGAUAUUAGCUAUUACAGUUUUUUUGUUAGUAAUGCAAUGCUAUGUUAUGUAUUACUUAACCAACUUUAAUUUCGUAAACACCUUGCAAAACACGUACAGGGCAAUGCAAUCAUUCAUAUAAAUGAACUGUGAAUUUUUUUUUUUUGGUGCAACAAUACAACACACUUUUUCAUUCCUUUAUCAAUUCUUACAACUUAGAACAGCAAAACUCAACACAAUGACAAUAACACAAAUACACCAUCUUAUUGAGUUUUUUUUCAUCUCUAGAGCUACUAUCCUCUUCUCCAAGCAUGUGAUCUUCAUUUCCAUGUCUUGCUUCCCGUGAUAAUCUUCAACAUCCACAAAUUCCUUCUUUCUCAUAUACUUUGUUUCUAUCAAUCCAAGUCCAACAUCGUGCUCAUCAAGCCACAAAAAAAAAUUUGCAAUACGGUUGUCUUGCCUGCAGCAAAUCAAUCCACAUAAUUCAAAAACAAAAAACUGGUAACCCUAACACAUCUUCAAGCACACCUUCCACACAGUCGGUUACCAUACCUUGUAAAAGGGACAGCCCAGAAACAAUCUGUCCAGAUUGCUUCGCGUCUUCGACAUGAAAAGGAUUGCGUUUUCUCCACAAAAGCACGUUGGUGAGAUGCCAUCUUUGCCAUCCUUCCCGUUAGGAUGCGAGCUCGAGCCGAACUAACCUCCACUUCUUUUCCAACUUGAUAAUACUCCUUCAGAUGCCAUGGAAGGAAGAAUUUCCUUUAUUCCUCUACUCCCCACAACACCCACUUCGCCGUUUCUGUGCAGACGAGGGAUUAGGGCAAAGAAAUUUGAAAAAUUGGGGGAGGUAACGAAACGGCGUCGUUUUCGUCUCCAGGGACUUAUAUGUCCUGUUUUGAAAAGCUCCUUGCCACGUGGGCUCCAUAAUGGCCAGGUCAGCGCCACCUCUGCCAGGUCAGAAUUUUCCGUCCAGUCCAAAUGCCUGAAUUCAACGGAAGGGUCGAAAUGUCCACGUUUUUCGGGGGUGAGAGACUUGAAUGUAUUUUUCCUUCCUUGAGGACAAUAAUGUCCACAAAAAAAGGUCAGGAACCUAUUUGUUCUUUAAUCUUUAAAAUAAUAUCCACCAAUUAAAAGAUAACAAGCUUUCUGCAUCUGACCCAAAAAAAUCAAAUAAUAACCCUUAAUGGACCUUAAUAUACCUUCAGCAAAAAUUAUCAUUGAGUUUUGAUCUGUUAAUAAAAAAUUUGUACUGACUUCAGACUGGUAAAAUUGGGCUUGCCAUUGGCCCACUACAGACCACAAGGGUCUCCAAUGCAUAGCCUCAUUUGUCACCUCUCUCAGAAUUGUAUCUCUUCUCCCCUUUUUCCGGAAAUAGAUAUUUUCAAUUUUUUUUAAUACUUGAGGGAAUAAAGUGUGAUCUCUCACCAUUAAUUUUAUAAGUGGGACUAAAAAUAAAUAUGAGAGAGAGCAAUAAAGGGUUAGAUUAAACAAUUCACGCCAUCCACUUUUUCUCCACUGGAGAGGAUCUGCUCCCCCUUUUCCUCGUGCUCUGCUUCCUUCAUCCACCUUGUUCUAAAUCCAUACUCGUGGUUCCAUGAAAAAAUCGCCACCGCAACUCCAUCCCCCACACAGCUGGCCGUCGCAAGCUCACAUGGGGAACCGGUACUACCUUUCCACUCCCGUCUCUUCGCUGUUCGUUGUUCGCUAUUCACAUGGAGGAAACGGCACUGCUUUCCAGCUCCCUUUGCCACUGCCUGCCGUUGCAGUUGUGUCCUCUGUUUCAGUUCCAAGGGAAGACAGCUGUUAUGAGUGGUGGUGGCUUGGCCACUAACAAAGAGAUGCAACAGACCCAAACUCCACCGGUCACCGCUGUUGUUCUGCCCUCUGUCUUCAUUGACGCUGUUUUCCCCUCCACCGUCGUGAGUUUUCGCUCGUCCAUCGCGGAAGCACCGACCUCGGCGCUGCUCCUAACUUUGUUGUCUUCGCAGAAUCGCCACAGAUCGCGGCCGUACUCAUCAUCUGUGGCGGUCGUCCGCGGGUUCGGCGCCGCCCUUGGAAGAAAUCGCCAAUUGUCCUCGGCCAUAACCGUUUCCUCCAAAUGCACCAAAUGUAGAUCUAGGUGUUCUUCUCCUGUGUGUUCUGGAAUGAGAGGUAAUUUUGAUUGCAGUUCUGGAAUUGAAUUCUAGAAUCUUGCUUGAACUGAAAUUGCUGUUGAUUCUACAGGUUGAAAUUCAAAAUUGAAAGCUAAUUCUUCUUCUUCGGUCAAAUCUGUUGCUUCUUCUUCAUUUUCUUCAAAAAUAAACAAGGAAGAAUGAAUUAUUGCUCGAUUUGCCAGCUCUGUUGAUUUUAUUUUUUGUUGAGGUUGAAUUGUAAAAUUGAAAUCUGUUGCUUCCUGUUCUGUGUAUGCAGAAGUCAUUGCUAAGUCCAAAAGUUUUGGUGCUGCAUUCUUGACUUGUGCAUCUGAUAUUUGUUGAAUUUUCUAUCUCUGAAAUUUCUGCUUCUAGAUUUUGGUUGAAUUGUCUACUUCUAGUUUAUCUAGAAUUGUUAGAUCCAGUGUGUCUAUUGAUGAUUUUGUUGCUGCAUUCUCUAAUUCUUUAUUCUCAUAAAUCGAGUAUGAAUUUUGGAAUUGCAGAACUGGAAUUGAUGAAUUUGCUAUUUCUGAAUUUGUUGAAAUAUUGAUGAUUGGGUGAGAAUCUGAUGCUGAUUUGGCUUGAAUCUAUUGAUUAGCGUUCAAGGUCGCACAAAUUUUGGUGCAAGUUGUUUGAAUUUCUUCAAGUAUCUUGGUACGUUCUUGAUAAUAUGAAUUUAAGCUUUGUAAAUUAGUUUGAAUUUAUCUCAAAUGGAAUCCGCAGAAUUACUAUGAGAGUUUAGUAUGGUGAGAAGAGAGAAUUAGAGAUAAUAAAAAAGAAUAGAAGAAAAAUCUUUAGAAGUAGGACAAAAGAAAAAAAAUAGAAUUUUUAAUUAUAUCAUACAUAUUUCACAUUAUUACAUCAUACUCUUAUUUAUAGUAUAAUUUUCAUUCUCUAGUUGGAUUAGCUCAAUACUAAUCCUAUCAAGAGCACACAACAAAAAUAGGUUGGGAAGCAACCAGUAAGUAAAAAGAGAGAGAAGAGGUUAAUUGAUAAAAAACAAAAACAAACAGAAAAAACAUUUUUUUUUAAAUUAAAAUUAUUUUUAAGGUUAAUUGAUUUUUUUUGAAAUAAUUUGAUGAUUUAAAUUUUAUUUUAGUCGUUACUGAGCUAUUAUGUAUGCUUGUUUCGUUAAUAAUAAACAUCAUCACUGUAUGAAUGUGGUGAUAGCUAGGUAAGGUUAUAUGAGCACCUUCGGUGUGCUCUUAUGGCUUUACCUGUGUUUUGCUACUGCAAAGUUUUAACCACCAUGAAAUAAAAGAUCUUCAAGUAUAUUAUGUUUUAAUUUCUUUGAAAUUAAUGAAAAUCAAACACUUC
rnacentral:lncRNA from 1 species